rnacentral:rRNA from 1 species
UACGGAGGAAGCUAGCGUUAUUCAGAAUUACUGGGCGUAAAGCGCACGUAGGCGGCUUUGUAAGUAAGAGGUGAAAGCCCAGAGCUCAACUCUGGAAUUGCCUUUUAGACUGCAUCGCUUGAAUCAUGGAGAGGUCAGUGGAAUUCCGAGUGUAGAGGUGAAAUUCGUAGAUAUUCGGAAGAACACCAGUGGCGAAGGCGGCUCACUGGCCCGGUACUGACGCUGAGGUGCGAAAGCGUGGGGAGCAAACAGG